CGGGAAAUCGCCGGUGAUUUGAUGGAAUCGAUACUCUUUAGUGCUGUAGCUUUGGACAUUUCAUGGAGUUUAUUAUUUGCUGUAGUCUAUGUUCGGUCACUAGAUUUGAUAUUACUAAGCUCAGAUUCGCCGUCGUUGUUUUCGAGAUUGCACUGAUAUUUUUAUGCUUUCAAGCUGCUAAUGCGAACACCCAAGAGCACCCAACUCAAUGGCAAGGCCCUGAAAGAGGAGGUGGA
rnacentral:misc_RNA from 1 species